rnacentral:rRNA from 1 species
CCUACGAGUGGCAGCAGUGGGGAAUAUUGCACAAUGGGGGAAACCCUGAUGCAGCGACGCCGCGUGAGUGAAGAAGUAUUUCGGUAUGUAAAGCUCUAUCAGCAGGGAAGAAAAUGACGGUACCUGAUUAAGAAGCCCCGGCUAACUACGUGCCAGCAGCCGCGGUAAGACGUAGGGGGCAAGCGUUAUCCGGAUUUACUGGGUGUAAAGGGAGCGUAGACGGCAGCACAAGUCUGGAGUGAAAUGCCGGGGCUUAACCCCGGAAGUGCUUUUGAAACUGUGCAGCUAGAGUGCAGGAGAGGUAAGUGGAAUUCCUAGUGUAGCGGUGAAAUGCGUAGAUAUUAGGAUGAACAGCAGUGGCGAAGGCGGCUUACUGGACUGUAACUGACGUUGAGGCUCGAAAGCGUGGGGAGCAAACAGGAUUAGAUACCCCAGUAGUC